GGUGACCAGGAGGGGAGCAGCUGGGACGUCGCCGCACUCCAGAGCCUGCAGACGGCAUGUCCUGGAAAAACUCGCAGGAACCAGCAAAGGGAGCAAUAGAGAGCAUGAGAGCACCAGCAGAAGAGGGAGAGGGAGAGAGAAUCUCAAGCUGACUCCCUGCUGAGUGGAGCCCAG
rnacentral:lncRNA from 1 species